CUAGGAUGAACGCUAGCGGCAGGCCUAACACAUGCAAGUCGAGGGGGUAACAGGGAGCAGCAAUACUCUGCUGACGACCGGCGCACGGGUGCGUAACGCGUAUGCAACCUACCUUCAACAGGGGGAUAACCCAGAGAAAUCCGGACUAAUACCCCGUAUAGUAGCGGGACCGCAUGAUCUUGCUACGAAAGCUUCGGUGGUUGGAGAUGGGCAUGCGUGACAUUAGCUAGUUGGCGGGGCAACGGCCCACCAAGGCUGCGAUGUCUAGGGGAGCUGAGAGGCUAAUCCCCCACACUGGUACUGAGACACGGACCAGACUCCUACGGGAGGCAGCAGUGAGGAAUAUUGGUCAAUGGACGGAAGUCUGAACCAGCCAUGCCGCGUGAAGGAAAAGAAGGCCCUAUGGGUUGUAAACUUCUUUUGUGCGAGAGUAAUAAGGGCUUUGCGAAGUCCGAUGAGAGUAUCGUACGAAUAAGCAUCGGCUAACUCCGUGCCAGCAGCAGC
rnacentral:rRNA from 1 species